rnacentral:rRNA from 1 species
UACGUAGGGGGCAAGCGUUGUCCGGAUUUAUUGGGCGUAAAGAGCGUGUAGGCGGCCAGAUAGGUCAGCUGUGAAAACUCGAGGCUCAACCUCGAGACGUCGGUUGAAACCGUACGGCUAGAGUCCGGAAGAGGAGAGUGGAAUUCCCGGUGUAGCGGUGAAAUGCGCAGAUAUCGGGAAGAACACCCGUGGCGAAGGCGGCUCUCUGGGACGGUACUGACGCUGAGACGCGAAAGCGUGGGGAGCGAACAGG